rnacentral:lncRNA from 1 species
GUAAAGGUCUGGCUUCUGCUGGCAAGGUAUUUAGUGGCAGUGUCUAUAAACAAAGCAGUAGCGGGAGUAUACAGCUAGCAAGGCAGAAGGAUUACGAUGAGAUUCCUGCAAACUAGAAUUUUCUGUUUUGAAGAUGUGCCCAGUUUGGAGGAAGACUCUGGGACGGCCCCAUCUCUGAAGGAUGAAGGCUUGCAGAGCGGCUCACUCCAGCGCUUUGCACAGCUGAUGAAAAGGGGGAAAUUCCAGCAGUUCUACGGCCUGAUGGGAAAACGGGCUAGUGGGGUGCCACAUACUUCACCAGAGGAGCAUAAGAGGCACCAGGGAGAGACGUUCAUAGGACUCAUGGGACGAAGAUCCUCCAGUGGAGAGUCAACACAGGACUGGGACAACAGCCAGCCACUUCCUGCAUGGGAGCCAUAG